ACUAAUAUAUUGUGACGGUGUAAAUUAAAACAUUUCUAUGUUCAUUUUGUAUUUUCUUCGGAAGAAUGGACACAAGAGCUGAUGACCAGUUGCAGCUCCGUGGAAUCGCCCCUGUGUUAAAUGAGUGCAAAUUAGAAUGUGAAAGGAACGCUUAUUCCGACCCCGCUUUCAUCUCGCCCAGUGAGAGUCACUUUCACUGGGCAUUAUGAAGCGGGAGGAAAACAGAACUCGCUGUAAGACAACCCUGUUUGAAAUGUUAUAUGAAGAUGACUGCAUUGGAUGUCUCAACAAUUGCAUUAUUGUAUGCAUAAUUAUGGAGGAGAUGGGUAGAACUGCCAAAAAAAGAAUGAAAGAUGAUGUAAACAAGCCCUCUGCCACCCUUGUAUGCCAAAUUAUAUGUAGGUGGGUGAUGUAAUGUGCCCUGGAGCAUCCAAUGGAAAUAGUCUGGGACAGUGUGUCCCUGUGUUCCUUGCCCUGAUGAAUGCCGUGUAGGAUGGAUGGUGUUCAGUGGAAGGAGACGGACGGCCCUUAGAGGACGGCCAGAGAGGUGAUUGGGCAGGCGGGCAGGCUGACGGGCGACUGGAUGCCCCAUUGAGAGCUGCGUUGCUGAUGAAACACAGUGGUGGUUUUAGAGUGGUAUCUGAGACUGGACGACUCCAAGAUGACAGUCUGGUCAUUAUCCGAAAGAGGAGAAAAAAUGAAGGGGGUUUUAGAGUAUUGAAAUGACACCAUGCGUGAAGAGGUACUUUUAUGGCCACUAUUGGUUCAUGUUGCAUGAUCUGCUACAAGUCUUCUCUGCUGUACAUUACCAUAGCCAUUACAAUAGAAAUGUUUGUUUCAUCAGUAGCUGGACAGACAAGUUUUAUUUUUUAUCUCAAGUGAAGUUUCUAGUUUAGGGUUACUGGUGGCUUAAAUAAAAAAAAUAAAAAAAUCAGUUUUUGUGCUGUUAUGACAUGUUUACUUUAGCUGUGCCUCUUCACCUUGGUUAAGCCAAAGUAGACUGCAUUUUUUUCUAACUCUUACUCUUGGUUGCAUCUGAUUUUAUGCAUUACUUUAUCUGACGUUUAAGUCCGUCCACUGCACCAAACACAUCUGAUUUCUGCUAUAUCAAUUAAUACACAUGUAUUCAAUAAAACCCUCUGAUCAAUAUACUUUCAAGAACACACAGCAUGCCGUAGUACAUUUUCUACUCUUCAAUUUCUACACGUAGCAAUUCAUAUGUGAGAGACAGUGAUGCUCUAAUCCAUUGUUUGUGACUCAGAAUGUUUCUUUGUCUUCUUGGGGUUUCUGGAUAUUUUACAGCUUGAAAUCCCUGUGCACACGAUGCACCCCACAGUCAAACUAAAAGAGCUCUCAGGGCCAAAAUCUAAAGCUUAAACUUUUCUCUGUUGUUAUUGCAAAACUAUUAUCUUUCAUUUCUUCUUUUGAGACAAACUGGGUUGGUUUCUUUUAAGCAACACGCUGCUGCUUUGUUGAUAGAUUAUCGUAAAUUAUUGUUGGACUGUCUGGAAACUAACUUAAUAGAUACAGAAUUCUGGCUGCUGCUGUAUCUAAUGCACGACUGUGUAUUAAUUCUGAUUCUGAUAUGUCCAAAUCAUUAUUCCUUUGUUCCAAACAAGGUCUCUUUUUUAGGCCUUUUUCUCAUAGUGCUUUAAUUUUGCUGUUUGUUUAUUUGGAUGGUUUUUUAUUAACAUAAUUCCUAUUUCUGUCAUGUUUUCAUGUACAUUCUUCUUUGUUGCAUUUUAAUAUUCUGUUUUUUAUUUUAAGUUUAAUGUUUAAGUAACUUAUUUUGUGUGUAAAAAAUGUCAAUAUUUAUUACCAUUGUACAUAUUUCCCUAUUUUUUAUAUAUGUAUAUAAACAUUAAAUAAAAGUAGAGAUCACUUCA